GUGUUGUAUGAAAGGUGCACUCCCCUUGACAAGGAUGGAAGAGGAUCUCAGUCCUGACAACACACAUAUGGUUAAGGCAUUGCCACCCACUGUGUGGCAUCUAACCAUCGUUUAAA
ensembl:snRNA